GCGAAUUCCUGCCUCCUUGGUUCUGGCGUUCUCCCUUCCUUCUGGGCGUGCCAACCUUCCUGGGUCUCGUUUCCUUCAAGCUGGGUCCUGCUAGGGUCCUAAUUGGUCUCUGAACGGGGAAAACGAGCUCGCAUGGAGGCUCCCUGUCGGCUUCCUGCGCAUGUGCGGUGACCCGGGGCGGCGGCGGCGUGAGCCGAGCGCGGCGUCCCGCGCGUGCGCACGGCUCCCGCGGUGCGGCAGUGCCUGGGAGAUUGGAGUAUGUCCGCGCCGUUCGAGGAGCGCAGUGGCGUGGUUCCGUGCGGGACGCCGUGGGGCCAGUGGUACCAGACUCUGGAGGAGGUGUUCAUCGAGGUGCAGGUGCCGCCGGGCACGCGCGCGCAGGACAUCCAGUGCGGCCUGCAGAGCCGCCAUGUGGCCCUGGCGGUGGGCGGCCGCGAGAUCCUCAAGGGAAAACUCUUUGAUUCUACAAUAGCUGAUGAGGGAACAUGGACAUUGGAGGAUAGAAAAAUGGUCCGCAUUGUCCUCACAAAGACCAAGAGAGAUGCAGCAAAUUGUUGGACUUCUCUUUUGGAAUCUGAGUAUGCAGCUGACCCUUGGGUACAAGACCAAAUGCAGAGAAAACUUACACUAGAGAGAUUCCAGAAAGAGGUAGGAUCUCCCUUUAGCCUAAGCUGACCUGGAACUCACUUUGUAGUCCUGAGCUAUUCUCAUACUUGCAGGAAUCCUCUACCUCUGCCUCCUGAGUGCUGGAAUUAAAGAAUCCUGGCUUUGACUUCAGUGGAGCAGAAAUCUCAGGAAACUACACCAAAGGUGGACCAGAUUUUUCAAACCUUGAAAAAUGACUGCUAUUCUUUUUCUCGCUACCUUCUGUGGACCCGAGCAAACGAUGCCAACUUAGAGCAGUAGUGCGCGGUGGAUGAAGAGCAUGGAAGCCUGCAGCUAGCCAACUGUGAAAUGUUCAGCUAUGACUUACAUUGGAAAAUGUACCGGGGGAACUGAUGUAUGGUAACUUUUUGGAAUUAUUUUUGCUCAGCAUGAAGUUUUAUAUGCUGUAUUUUACUAAAUUCAUAUUUACUUGUAUUUUUUAUUAUAAAAACAUUGGAGUGCAGAUAAUACAAAAGGAUGCCUUCAGAAAAAUUAAGUUUUUCUUUUGGUGAGUGUGUCACAGGAAUAAUGUUUAAUAAAUUUUUCUAAAUAGAAAUUGUAUACCCUUUUGUCUAAGAAUGCCAGUUCAUACAAGGGCAUUAUAAUACAAAAAAAAAAAAAAAACUGUAAGAAAGCAAAAAAAAGGGGGGGUAGGCUGGGAGAUGAGUCAGUAAAGUGCUUGCCUCACAAGCAUGAGGAAUUGAGCUUGAGCCCUAGUACCCAGGUAAAGACGGGAGUGGACGGAACCUGCCUUGUCAUACGCACAUGUGCAUAUACACCCUACCCCCAAGCAUGCAUGCAUACUGCAUGCAUACACACGACACACACAUACAGACAAAAUGCACAGAACUAUUAAGG